GGGAGGGACAUUCCAGUUUCCAGACCUUAUUCCCGCGAACCAAACGGACCCUAAACAUGUUAAUUUGCUUUUGGCGCCAAGGGCUUGGACAUGAAUCAUGAUUGGGGAGGAUAGUUUCCUUCCCGGCCUGACUUGCUCAUACUCGCAAAGUGGUAAUCGUAAGAAGAUGAAAUCUCUGAAGCUAGACGCUUUCGCCGGUAUUCGCUAUUCUUCAGAUUCAUCAACUCGGCGAAUCUGGUUGCCAGUUCACAAGACAAGAAGUUUACAGGGAAAUCCCUUCCUAAGCCUCUCUCCUCUAUCAGUUGGAUCUGCCAACUAUUCUCCCACUGCAUUUCCAUAUCGCAUGGUCUACCGAUCUAAACCAAGUUUCGAAAUCGUUUGUUUCAAUCAAUUGAGUUCGAUGUCUUCAGAUGACGAUGACCUCCAUCCCCAGAAAGAUUACGAUAGCAUUGCCUCAGAUAAUCCCUGUUCCAUGCCAACCUCCUGUCAUCAAGUAGCAGCUGCUCGAUUUCUUCAAAAUGCAGCAUGGGUUGGCGUUGCAACCAUCGUGAGCAAGAUUUUGGGACUUCUCAGGGAGGUUAUCCUAGCUGCUGUCUUCGGAGUUGGACCCGUGGCCACCGCAUUUAAGCAUGCUUCGGUGCUUCCCAUAUUUUCCGUAUCACUCAUAGGAGGUGUAAAUGGUCCCCUUCAUAUCGCUAUGAGUACCACUUUAAGUAAGCUUUCUAAGGAAAGUGGGAAGCGGCUUGUACAAACUACAUAUUUUGUUAUGCUCAUGGUAUGUUUCGAAUCUCUUUUACCAAAAUCCACUCACUUUUUGCUUCUCCCUCAUUUUACUUCUAGACUUUCUGUUUUUGUGCAGAUAGGAUGCAUUUUGGGUGCUCUCAUUUUCAUAUCUGCAGAGCUUAUUGUUUAUGCUACUGCUCCUGGUUUGUGGGUGGCAGCAGAAUGUCAAAUAACUAGGGAAAUAGCUAUCAGACAGCUGAAACUAAUGAUCCCUUGCAUAGUUUUUGCUGGUCCCAUUGGACUUGGCUAUGGAUGUCUAAGUGCAGAAGGUGAUAAUUUUAUUCCCUGUAUGAGCCCUGCUCUGUCAAGCAUUUCCAUAAUUCUUUCGUGCAUCAUGUAUGUUUGCAUGAAAAGAUCAAAUGCUUACUGUCUGGAUGAUGUUGUAUUUGGAGGAGUGGUGGUUGCUUGUGGAGCUUCAGUAGGUGCUUUUCUUCAGUGGCUUAUCCAGGUCAUUAUGUAUGAGAAAAUGGGAUAUGAUUUUGUUGCAAUUUCAUUCUCAAAUGUUUUGAAGGAUGAGGUUCUUCAUGAGUUUUUCAUGUUGAUGCUUCCGGCAAUAUUAAGUUCAAGCCUGGCACAAAUAGCAUCUUUUACGGAUCUUUAUUUUGCAUCGUUCAUUCCAGGUGCUGCUGCAGGUCUCUCUUAUGCACAUCUCCUGGCAAUGGCUCCAUUGGGCAUACUAUCUAGCAUAGUCAUACUACCUCUUUUACCUACUUUCUCAAGGCUGGCAAAGUGUUUGUCAUGGUCAUACUUAAUGGAUGAUCUAAAACGAGCAGUUCUGAUUUGCAUGAUAAUUGUCCUACCUAUUGCAUCGAUUAUGAUUGCGUUGGCAGAGCCAGUUACCAGUGUUUUAUUUCAAAGAUUCAAAUCUGAUUCCAGUGCAAGUGCUAUGGUUGCACCAUUGCUUCUUUGUUAUUCUAUUGGCUUGCCAUUUUGUAUCAUCCGGGAGUUGCUAGUUGCAGUCUUUUAUGCUCUAGGAGAUGGAGAACAGCCAUUUCUGAUCAGUGUGUCAGCAAUUAUUCUGAACGGUUUCCUGGAUUGGCUCUUUGUUUCAAGGUUUCACCUUGGAGCACAAGGAUUGCUGACUACAUUGUCAAGGCACUUUCAACAUCAUUUGUAACUACUUUGUCGACACUGGUACUUUUGCAAUGCCUCUUGAAGAAACUUCCAGCACGAUAUAUAUCUUGAAUGGGACCAGUCAUGGUGGAACAAACCCCUCUAUGGCACUUUUCCAGAAAUACCAUCAGUAGGCGGUAUUAUAAAUGAAGUAGGUUGUAUUUGCCAUAAGAACUGGGCAAGCCCUUAGAUAUGGUCAGUUGAACAGAAAUAAAUCUUAACAUUGUUUAUCACUUGCUUUGCCAACUGGCAGUCUUUUAAAGACAUGUUUAUGUACUAGUAAAACCCGUACUCAGUGUAAAAUUUGUACCCUGGGGCAAGUUGGGUUUGGUGAUGAGAUAAUGGGAGUGCAAUUUUUAGAAGUUCCAAAGGUUUGGAUCCCCUUCAGAGUUCAGAGAGGUCGGCAAAAUUGGUAAAACAGUGAACUAAUCCUAUGUAUGCAUCCACCCUUUUCCUUUUAUAAGGGUUUACAUUGGUGCAUAAAUGGUGGAUUGUUCAGUGAUUGCAGUGUCUUGGAGGUAUGCUCUUACAGUACUAGCGUCAUGGUUGUAUUACCAUUCCAUUUCAAAAUGUUUGUACCAUGUAUCUUUUUAUUUUCCUCUUUUCCUUUGCUAUCGAUUUUCCAUCAAGAUGAACUGCUGCAAGGUUUUUAUGCAGGACUAAAUGAUUCUAAAGAGCUGGUUAGUCCUCUUCUUCUCCUACUUCCUUGCUGCAUCGUCGCAGGCUCUCUUUCAUCUGUUGCACAUAAG